UACGGAGGAUGCAAGCGUUAUCCGGAUUUAUUGGGUUUAAAGGGUGCGCAGGCGGAAUUGUAAGUCAGUGGUGAAAUCCUACAGCUUAACUGUAGAAUUGCCAUUGAUACUGCAAAUCUAGAGUUUAGUUGAAGUGGCUGGAAUGUGUCAUGUAGCGGUGAAAUGCAAAGAGAUGACACAGAACACCGAUAGCGAAGGCAGGUCACUAAGCUAAUACUGACGCUCAGGCACGAAAGCGUGGGGAUCAAACAGGAUUAGAUACCCUGGUAGUCCACGCCGUAAACGAUGAUAACUAGUUGUUGGCGAUAUACAGUCAGUGGCCAAGCGAAAGCAAUAAGUUAUCCACCUGGGGAGUACGACCGCAAGGUUGAA
rnacentral:rRNA from 1 species